GAAGAUGAACAAAGGUCUUACAGGGGUGGAUCGAUAUGAGAUGGUCUGGAAAGAAGAGAGAAAACCAUGUGUGAAGAGAGAAAACCAUGCCGACAUUCACCUGAUCCCAGAUGUCCAGCAACAUCACGUCAUCCUCAUCCAGGUCAUCUUGGUUAAAGUUUGUAAUCUCUGUUGCUAUAAAGCGACCUGUCUGGUUGGAGCACUCAAACAACCGGGGCGUGAUACUGCAGUUCUCCUCCUGAAGUCUGAAGAAAAGAAGAAAUGCAUAAGCUGUGUCCUAAAACUUGUGAACUGUCUGUGAAGGCAGCAUUGCAUAUAUCCUUUGCAAGGAAUGCAAUGCCAAAAUGCAUUCUCCAAUGUUAAACCCUCUUGAAAUCAAUUGUAUUUAUCACUCUCCUGUAUUCUUCAUUUGAGGAACGCUAUAGAGUGCAACAGUUGCCACCCACUUUUUCUGCAAUGUUGGUUCCAGAAGUAUUUUUUCCAUUCACUUUUCACAUUGGGAUUUUAGAAAGUAUUUAUUAAAGCAUUAUAAGCCAUGAACUAAA